GUGGAGUUGAGGGAAAGAGGAAGAGAAAGGGGACUAUGAGGGAAGGAGACAGGAAGAUGUUCAAAGAGUGAAAGAGAGGCUGGAGAAUAAUGGGGGAAUGAGAAAAAAGUUUUGAUGGGGUGAAAGGGUUGGUGGAGAAAGGGGGAUGGAGAGAGAAGGGAAUGAAGGGGAGUGGGCUGUGGAUUGAGAAGGGGUGAAGGCAUGAGAGAAAGUCUGAAUGGAAUAAGGAGGAUAGAGAAAGGUGAGAUGGAUAAUGGAGAGUGGAACAGAGAAUUGGAAAGCAGAGAUGGUGAGGAAGGGGUAGAGAGCAGGAAUGAAGAGGGACUGGAGGAAGCAAAGAGAAGAUGAAGGUAUAGAAUAGAUGGCAAAUGCAGUGAGGGGCUAGAGGGGGGUGGAGGCAGGAAGAGGGAAGCUUAAUGAAUGUGAAUAUAGACAGAGAGUGGACACAUGGAGGAUAAUAAGGUGGGUGGAGAGGAAAAAGCAGACAGACUGGGUUUGAUAGAAUCACACUAAGGAUGGAUAAAGACGAAUGAGAGAAAAGAGAAGGGGAUGGACAGGGUAGCGUAGUGGUUAGCACAAUUCCCACUGCUGUCUGUAAGGAGUGUCACCUCGUGGGUUUCCUCCUGGUGCUCCAGUUUCCUCCCACAGUCGAAAGACGUAUGAGGGUGAUACGUCGAUGCAACGAGCUGUAAGAGGAAGAGAUUGAGGGAGUUCUAUUUCAGCAAUCAAUGCCUUUGGAAAAGUAGAAACCAUAAAGUUGUCAGACUGAUGGAAAGAAAGAAGAUUAUUUGCAUGUGUCAUAAGCAUUGGGACAUCUGCAAUCCUUCAGUCUCCUGACUCAUGGCCAUAUCUGAGGAAGACUAACACACCCAAAAUGCUGGAGGAACUCAGCAGGUCAAGCAGCAUCAAAAGAAGAAAAUGGACAGUCGACGCUUUGGAAGAAGACCAUUCAUUAGACUGAGGGACGCCUUCUCCAAUCCUGAUAAGGGGUCUUGCCCCGAAACCGUUAAUUUCCCUCUGUAGAUAUUGCUUCAGCUAUUGUGUUUCUCCAGCAGUUUGUAUGUGUUACUCCAGAUUUCUGGCAUUGGCAAUUUUGCUUGUGUAUUCAGUCAUAGCUGAUUUUUUUCCCAUCCCCAUUCACUGAAGACAUUCCUUUAAAACUAGGGAGGGACUUUUUCAUCCAGAGGAUGGUGUAUCUGUGGAAUUCAUUGCCAUAGAGUUGUGAAGGCAAAGUCAUUGGGUGUAUUUAAGACAGAGUUUUAUAGGUUCUUGAUUGGUAAGGGAUUGAGGGUUAUAGGGAGAAAGCAGAAGAAUGGGGUUGGGAAAUAAAAGUCAACCAUGAUUGAAUGCCUAAUUCUGCUCCUAUAUAUUGUGCCAAAUUCCUUCACUAUAUUCCCUGGGUGUGCCUAGUCCUACUGUCAGAAGAGAGUAACUGGAAUUGACAAUACAGGCAGAAUAAAGAAGGCUAAAAUGUUGACAACAGAACCAUGAAGCCAGGUGGGAAGUAUGAGGAAAGUCUAGCAAAGCACUAACACAGGACUACAUGUGCCCUAAACAAUAAGACCAACAUGCAGUAAUCAAUCCUACAACCAACAAAUCAAAGCUUCAUAGUCACAUCUAAUCUAAUUAAACUUCAGGUUAGGCAACGGCUCCAGGAGCACCACUGGUCUUAAGGCCUGUACAAAUGCAACAAUUGUUAGGCUGAAGUGUGGAGUGAAUGACCCAUCACAUUAUCCUUUUAACACCCCCAACAUUCAGAAGACAAUCUUUAGACAAUUUGAAUCACUCUGCAUGAUAGCAAGAAAAAUAUGAAAGCAAUGGAUACAAAUCAGGCUAAGGGCAGAAAAGAUCCCAGCCUUGUAAUGAAAAAGCCAUGCCUCCAUCCAAGCUGAUCCUAUAGUGUAGCUAUAUUGAUAUCCAGCUGCCAAUGCAGAAAAUAGUGCACAACAGACUCCUUGUACCAUAAGAUGAAUUCUUGACCUCAUAAUCUAUGUCGUUAUGAUUUUCUACUUUAUUAUUUACCUGCACCAGUAAGAUGACAGUGCACUCAGAAGCAGUGGCAUCUUUAAGGACAACCAAAGGUGUUAUCGUCCUAUAAAAUAUAUUUUUUACAACCACAAGACACUGCUGGAUAUUAAGAACUUAAAGUACUGCAGGUCUAUCCCAUCAACGAGUUGUUCAUUGGUGGAGAAACUGAAGGAGCUGGACUUGUUGCAGGCCAUAAUGCUGCUUGCGUCAGAGAGGCAUUGGUGAGUGAAGGAGGUGUGCAGUAUAACAGCGAGUCUUAGUCAUUCUUCUUGUAAUCGCAAGACCCUGUUGGACAUUGGUGGUGUGGAAUGCUGCAAGUCUAGAAUACAAGAGCAGGGAUGUGAUGCUGAGGCUUUAUAAGGCCCUGGUGAGGCCUCACCUUGAACACUGUGAACAGUUUUGGACUCCUCAUCUAAGAAAAGUGUUCUGGCAUUAGAGAAGUUUCAGAGGAGGUUCAGAAGGAUGAUUCUAGGAAUGAAAUGGAUAUCAUAUAAGGAACAUUUAACAGCUCUAGAUCUGUACUCACUGGAAUUUAGAAGAAUUCAUUGAAACCUUUCGUAUGUUGAAAGGCCUAGACAGAGUAGAUGUGGAAUGGAUGUUUCCCAUAGUGGGGCAGUCAAGGACCAGAGCACACAGCCUCGGGAUAAAGGGGCAUCCAUUUAAAACAGAGAUGUGAAGAAAUUUCUUUAGCCAAAGGGUGGUGAAUUUGUGGAAUUUAUUACCACAGGCAGCUGUGGAGACCAGGUCAUUGAGUGUAUUUAAUUCAGAGCUUCAUAGCUUCUUGAUUGGACAUGGCAUCAAAGGUUACGGGGAGAAGGCUGGGGAGUGGGGCUGAGGAGGGAAAAAAGGGAUCAGCCAUGAUUGAAUGGUGGAGCAGACUCGAUGGGCCAAGUGACCUUAUUCUGCCCCUAUGUCUCACGGUCUAUGUCCAAUACAUUGGUUUAUUGGAGAACAGCAGGAGAGCUGCAUGGUCUUGGUCUUAGUGAGGACUAGGCCAAAGCCACAGUGUUACCUGCUUGUAUCCACCCAGAGGGAGGCAUCGAAAUCGGGUGCUCCACCAGAGUGCUGGGGGCAGUGUGGUACAGCUUCCAUGCUGGAGUCAGUGCUAUCCCCCAGUGUUUACUCCACAGAAGACAAGCUGUAUUGUAUUCACCUGUAGACAGUUGCAAUGUUCAUGGA